rnacentral:tmRNA from 2 species
GUGGCAGGAUGAACAGGCUCGUCUUCGGACGAACUAGGUGGUCCACACCAGUGUCUCGGACAGCGGUUCGAUUCCGCUCAGCUCCAUUCCCCCGACCCACCGCCCCGCAGGCGGUGCGUCAUCCCGGGGCUGCAAUGGUUUCGACGGGGCAUGAGGAGGGUGACUGAAGCCUGCUCGGUCAGAGCGAACCCGUAACAGCGAACAACAUCGUUCGUUUCUCCCGUCAAGCCGCCCCCGUGGCUGCCUGACACUCUUAACGGAGACGGGGUGAGGUCAGCCUUGUCACCCAAAUGACCCAUGGGGCCUGGAAGGGCCC